rnacentral:rRNA from 1 species
UACGGGGGGGGGCAAGCGUUGUUCGGAAUUACUGGGCGUAAAGGGUUCGUAGGUGGCCUGCUAAGUCAGACGUGAAAUCCCCUCGCUCAACGAGGGAACUGCGUCGGAUACUGGCAGACUUGAGUACCGGAGAGGAAGGUGGAAUUCCCGGUGUAGCGGUGAAAUGCGCAGAUAUCAGGAGGAACACCGGUGGCGAAGGCGGAUCUCUGGGCCUUACCUGACGCUGAGGCGCGAAAGCUAGGGGAGCAAACAGG